GCGGGGGUUGCCAAGCCAGGUCAAAGGCGUAGGACUGAGGCUCCUAUCCUGCAGAGGUUCGAGCCCGCGGACGAAAAGGUUCGAAUCCCUCCCCCCGCACCA
rnacentral:tRNA from 1 species